rnacentral:rRNA from 1 species
GGGCGUUAAAGGGUGCGUUAGGCGGCGGGGUUAAGUUCCAGGUGUUGAAAUUCUCGGGGCUCAACUUCCGAAACUGCACUUGAUACUGCCUUGCUAGAGUAUUGGAGAGGAGAUUGGAAUUUACGGUGUAGCAGUGAAAUGCGUAGAUAUCGUAAGGAAGACCAGUGGCGAAGGCGAAUCUCUGGACAAUUACUGACGCUGAGGCACGAAGGCCAGGGGAGCAAACGGGAUUAGAUACCCCGGUAGUCCUGGCAGUAAACGGUGCAUGUUUGGUGUGGGAGGAUUCGACCCCUUCUGUGCCGGAGCUAACGCGUUAAACAUGCCGCCUGGGGAGUACGGUCGCAAGAUUAAAACUCAAAGAAAUUUGACGGGGGCCCGCACAAGCGGUGGAGUAUGUGGCUUAAUUCGAUGCAACGCGAAGAAACUUUACCUGGCCUUUGACAUGCAUCUCUAAGUCGGUGAAAGCCCGGCGAGUGUAGCAAUACACAAUUUUGCACAGGUGCUGCAUGGCUUGUCGUCAGCUCCGUGUCGUGAGAUGUUGGGUUAAGUCCCGCAACGAGCGCAACCCCCUGUGAACUGUUGCCCACCGGCCCUUCGGGCCGAGCACUCUGUUCAGACUGCCCUGUGAAACGGGGAGGUAGGUGGGGGAUGACGUCAAGUCAGCAUGGCUCCUUACGGCCAGGGCUGCACACGUACUACAAAUGCUCCAGUACAGAAUGAAUCGAAACUCGCGAGGUGGAGGAGAUCCUCUAAAACUGGGCUCAAUUCGGAUUGGAGGCUGCAACUCGUCUCCCAUGAAGCUGGAAUCGCUAGUAAUGCCGUAUCAGCUAACGACGCGUGAAUACGUUCUCCGGGCCUUGUACUCACC